UAGGGAAUUUUCGUCAAUGGGGGGAGCCCUGAACGAGCAAUGCCGCGUGUGUGAAGAAGGUCUUCGGAUCGUAAAGCACUGUUGUAAGUGAAGAAUGCCAUAUAGAGGAAAUGCUAUGUGGGUGACGGUAGCUUACCAGAAAGCCACGGCUAACUACGUGCCAGCAGCCGCGGUAAUACGUAGGUGGCAAGCGUUAUCCGGAAUCAUUGGGCGUAAAGGGUGCGUAGGUGGCACGAUAAGUCUGAAGUAAAAGGCAACAGCUCAACUGUUGUAUGCUUUGGAAACUGUCGAGCUAGAGUGCAGAAGAGGGCGAUGGAAUCCCAUGUGUAGCGGUAAAAUGCGUAGAUAUAUGGAGGAACACCAGUGGCGAAGGCGGUCGCCUGGUCUGUAACUGACACUGAUGCACGAAAGCGUGGGGAGCAAAUAGGAUUAGAUACC
rnacentral:rRNA from 1 species